GGGUGGACAUAAUGGUUAAUAGACUAUUAACAAAUUAAAAUAUUUGGUUAAAGUAUCGACAUUUCGUUAAUUUAUUGACGAGACCCCACCUUUUCAUAUUUACCGUAUUAAAAAAAACCUUGGUUUCCCACCCAAACUCUAUGAACGUGUGUAAGAAAAAAAAUAUAUUUAGGACGCCAUUUUUCAUUGCUUUUGUUCCGUCGUGUUGAUGUUGGAAGUUUUCGUUUUGUCGGUGUAGGAAAAUACCCGGAAGGGACUUUGCGACGGAGAGAUAAGUUUUCACCAUUUUGACCAGCGACCGUGAACAUCGGCGCAGCGCUGGAAAAGAACCGCUAGUGAUAGCCGUACAACCGUGAUUUCAAUCCUAAGCCACCAGGACGAAAAAGGUGUCGUCCUGAGCUGCGAGGAAUUCUAUUCGGAUGAUGACGACGAAAACCAAUCGCAAUCCGGCCACUACGCUUGUUCCGGCUGUUCCGGCACCUCCCAGAUCGCGUUGUAGCCGCAAGAAUUUUGAUCUGCCCAAAAGUAUUCAGUCCCAGAAGAACCUGCUCCAACAGGCUGGUGUAAGGGUGCUUUUGUCGGAUCAAGAGCACCGGCGGGAUUGCCAGGAAAUGGAUGGAUGCAACGGAAGCGGCGCAAGAGCAGUUGGUGUCAGCGCAACCGCGUAACAGAAAACAAAGCGUCGCUUCGGUCCGGAAACUUCAAAAAUUUACGGAAUUACGUCCGCCUUCGGAGAGCUACGUUGGAGAAAGACGAAGGCAACGUAGCGCUUAGCCAAAAGUAUAGCUUAUACUUUCGCAAGAG